UCGACGCUACUCUUACUUUAGUCGUCGUGGUGACCAGCUCGCAGAAUGGCGUCAGUCUUACUAGUCUUUGUGUCCGCUCUGCUGAUGCUGGUUUUUAUCAACGUCGUACACGGAGCCCCUGGUUACCAGAAGUGUGAAUGCUUGGCUGAAAACGAGUCAUGUCCACCUACCUGGACGGAAUCUGAACAAGGAGAAUGUGACGCGGAUGAGAAGAGAUGCUGCACCCCGUUAAGGAUCUUCUUCUUCCCUUUCCCUCAUACGUUCCCCGCUGUCACGUAUCCAACAACAGAACCAAACAGCAACGCCAACAGUAUUGAGUACAAAUGGGGAUAAAAAUAACCGAACAAUUCAUAAACGGAGGACGACGGCAUGUUGGAGGAUGGUCCUUCGUGGAUGGUCCUUCGUGGAUGGUCCUUGGAGGAUGGUCCUUGGUGGAUGUCUAUAAUCGGGGGCAAUCGGAGGCAAAGGAAGUGAACGUGGACCCACCCGAUUGUGUCAUACGCGCUUUUAAUUGAAAUACCCAUGCUAUGUUUUAUAUUAAGAAAAUAUUCGAAUGGACCAACCCUAUUGUAUCACACGCGCUUUAACUAAAAUUAUCCAUGACAUGUUUUAUAUUUCUGAAAUAUAGGUCUAACAUAAUCUGUUAAAUAUCCUAGUUUUACAUUGAAUAAAGGUGUUAUGAUGGCUUA